CUUUUUUUUCUCCUUUAAAUUUGGUGAUAUUGGGGUUCAUGUUAAGAACAACAAAUAAAUUUUUUUAAGCAAGAAAAAAAAGAAAACAACAAAGAAAUUACUCAUAAAUACCUUCUACUCCUCCAGACAACGCUCCACAAGUGGAGAAGUUUAGCGUAGGAGUCUCGGUCAUUUUAGUCACAGAGCUUUCGGGUAAAAAUCUCAAAUACUCUUAAUGAGACAAAAUUUAUUCUGGCAUACUC
rnacentral:lncRNA from 1 species